ACCCAAAGUGAACCUAUAUUUUCAUGUACCUGUCCCGAGGGGUAUUCAGGGAUAGUAUGUCAGUUCCAUGUCUGUGACAGUCAUGCUUGUCAGAAUGGAAAUUGUGAGGCAGAUACGUCCAGUACACGAGGUUACAAAUGCAAAUGUAAUGAAGGUUAUACUGGGGAGAAUUGUGAAGUUGAAGCCUGCAAAAGCGGAUGGAUACCAUUUGAUGGUCACUGCUACUUAGAUGUCAAGACAAAGACGACUUGGGACAAUGC